UGCCCAGCAACCCCUAUCCCUACCUCCGCGUGAUACCGGAACUGCGAGCAACCUUGGUGAAGAUCGGGUAACCAACCCCGGUGGGAGCUUUGGUUGUGGGCUGACAGGGAAGG
rnacentral:ribozyme from 1 species